AAGAAAAAGAAGAAGACAAAAUAAUUUGUGAAAGAAGAAGAAAAAAA
rnacentral:sRNA from 1 species